rnacentral:rRNA from 1 species
CCUACGGGUGGCUGCAGUGAGGAAUAUUGGUCAAUGGGCGCGAGCCUGAACCAGCCAAGUCGCGUGAGGGAAGACGGUCCUGUGGAUUGUAAACCUCUUUUGUCGGGGAGCAAAAGACGCCACGCGUCGCGUUCCGAGAGUACCCGAAGAAAAAGCAUCGGCUAACUCCGUGCCAGCAGCCGCGGUAAUACGGAGGAUGCGAGCGUUAUCCGGAUUUAUUGGGUUUAAAGGGUGCGCAGGCGGAAGAUCAAGGCAGCGGUAAAAUUGAGAGGCUCAACCUCUUCGAGCCGUUGAAACUGGGUGUCUUGAGUGAGCGAGAAGUAUGCGGAAUGCGUGGUGUAGCGGUGAAAUGCAUAGAUAUCGCGCAGAACUCCGAUUGCGAAGGCAGCAUACCGGCGCUCAACUGACGCUGAUGCACGAAAGUGUGGGUAUCGAACAGGAUUAGAUACCCGGGUAGUC